GUUGUUUUUUGAUCAAUCUGCAUAGCUUGCUCUCUCCAGCGAUAAGAUCUCCAUGCUGCAAAUGCCACUUCUCAAUCUUGAUUUGGACGUGAGAGAAAAUGGUGAAAUUAAACCAAUUUCUAUAGAGAUGAAUAAGGAAGAGUUGCAGAACCUUAUAAAUGCACUGGAAGCCGCUAACAAGGUUGUCUUGCAACUGAAAUGAUGGAAUUCAGAUUAUUGACAGUAUCUCCUGGUGGUGACUCCCCCAUUGAUGUGGAAAAAAAGAAAGAAGUUCUCUUCAAAACCAAAAGUUGAUGCUGUAAAAUACUGAAGUGAGAAGGCUGUCAUGACUUGUGACCAAAUAAACUACUAAUCCUUUGAUAAAAAAAUAAUAAAAUCUUGUAUUAUCUGUUUGACCAAAAACAUAAAAAUCCAAUGUAAGUUGCUUUUAGUACUAAAGAUUUGUAGAACUAUAGAAAAGUAUCAUUUAUGACGUGUGCCAUAUUUGUUUUGCUUAAACUCUGGCAGUGACUGCACAGGACCCUACUAAAACUAAGGUGUCUUACUUGCAUAAUGUUACCUUUAUCUAAGGUGCUGUGAUGAUGAAGAACGUGAUAGAGUACUUGUAGCAUUAAUGUAUUUAUACUUGUAAAUAGUAAAUAAACACUUUAUUUUGUGUGUGAA